rnacentral:tRNA from 1 species
GCCCCCAUAGCUCAAUGGACAGAGCGUCUGACUUCGGAUCAGAAGGCUGCGGGUUCGAAUCCUGCUGGGGGUG